UACAGAGGGUGCGAGCGUUAAUCGGAAUUACUGGGCGUAAAGGGCGCGCAGGCGGCGCAUUUUGUCAGGCGUGAAAGCCCCGGGCUUAACCUGGGAACUGCGUUUGAUACGGAUGAGCUAGAGUCCGGAAGAGGCGAGUGGAAUUCCUGGUGUAGCGGUGAAAUGCGCAGAUAUCAGGAGGAACACCAAUGGCGAAGGCAGCUCGCUGGGACGGUACUGACGCUGAGACGCGAAAGCGUGGGGAGCAAACAGG
rnacentral:rRNA from 1 species